rnacentral:sRNA from 1 species
CAGAGCCUCAACGCGUGGAACCAGACCUUAGCCGAUCGGGAGGAGCUGUCUCCGCCUACGUGCACUUUGCGUCACCGGGUGGCCUCCAUUUCAAGGACUGAAGCUCACAGUUGGCACCUGACCUGGACUCUAGAGCCACAACAGCUGCAUUACUGGUGACAAAGCAAGCUUGGGAGGUUUGGAGGCGAGAUGAAACGAGAGGGAGAUGUGAAGAGGCCCAGGAAAGAAAAGUUCUUUUGGAGCCCAGUUCCUCAAGGCCAAGGGAAUGAUUGCAACAUUGCACGAAACUCAAGGAAUUUCAGAUUGAAGGAAGAGACAUCCUCCAUGAAGACAGAAUUUAUGUCUACUAAAGACAGUCUAUGUCUACUGAAUACAAAGAUCAGGGUCCAGCACAUCAUUACCACUGAAUAAAUAUUUGUUGACCAAAUAGAUCAGAAACUAAGUCUCACUCAGUGCCAUUUUGUCCAGUUAAUUAUGUGGCUCCUAGUACAU